UUAUAUGUUGGUGUCUCUACUCAUUGCGCUGAUUCCUACAGAUUCCGUGAUCAGAUUUUCCGGUGUGAAGAAUGUGCAGCAGUAAUGGUGGGUGCAAGCUUGCCCUAGAACCCACAUUGUUCCAUAGUUCAAUUUUUUUAGCUUCUUGUGAUAAUUCAAUUAAGUUUGUGCUUUCAUAACUUUUCCGAAAUUGUGAAACAGUUUGAGAAUUUUACUUUUUGUUAGUGUAUAUGUGAGAGCUAAUGGAUAUCAAUCAUUAUUCGACUUCGAAAAACAAAGAAAAGGAAAAUAGUUAUCGGCAACUCUAUAUGGAUCUGGUUCAGUAUCUGUAUAGUUAUAUGGAUUCUCAUGAGGGAGAUUAUGAUGAGCUUCAAACAUUAAACAUUAUUUCAAUUCCAAGAUUGUGAAAUGUGUUCUUAA